rnacentral:rRNA from 1 species
UACAAUGGAGAGUUUGAUCCUGGCUCAGGAUGAACGCUAGCGGCAGGCCUAAUACAUGCAAGUCGAACGGACUGGAGACCUUCGGGUUUCCAGUUAGUGGCGCACGGGUGCGUAACGCGUAUGCAACCUACCUUCUAUUGGGGGAUAGCCCACCGAAAGGUGGAUUAAUACCGCAUAACACCAUGACAUGGCAUCAUGUUACGGUUAAAGUUUCGGCGA